rnacentral:rRNA from 1 species
ACAUGCAAGUCGAACGAGACCUUCGGGGCUAGUGGCGCACGGGUGCGUAACGCGUGGGAAUCUGCCCUUGGGUUCGGAAUAACACAGAGAAAUUGAAGCUAAUACCGGAUGAUGUCUUAAGCUCAAAGAUUUAUCGCCCAAGGAUGAGCCCGCGUAGGAUUAGCUAGUUGGUGAGGUAAAGGCUCACCAAGGCGACGAUCCUUAGCUGGUCUGAGAGGAUGAUCAGCCACACUGGGACUGAGACACGGCCCAGACUCCUACGGGAGGCAGCAGUGGGGAAUAUUGGACAAUGGGCGAAAGCCUGAUCCAGCAAUGCCGCGUGAGUGAUGAAGGGCUUAGGGUUGUAAUUCUCUUUUACCCGGGAUGAUAAUGACAGUACCGGGAGAAUAAGCCCCGGCUAACUCCGUGCCAGCAGCCGCGGUAAU